CUCCCUCUUAUCCUCUUUUAUUCCCAAUGUAGAAACCAUGUUUUCUUUAACUCAUCAACACACAAAAUUUUAUUAAGUUAUAUAAGUUACAAGAAGAAAAAGAAAGAGAAAGAAAGGGAGAGAGGAAAAACCAAACUUUGAAGGAAGAAAAAAAGAACAUAACACACAAACACAUACUAUUUCCUUCUUCAUUUUCAAGAGCACCAAACCUUCUCUCAAGAAACUAAGUAUCGAAGACACUUUUUCCCGUCUUCUUCAUUUUCCAUCUCAAAAUCAUCAAGGAGAUCAAGCGUAGGAGUCUCUAAAGAUUAAGGGUGUAUCAAUUUAAAAGGAAUCUCAAGGAACUUCAACAUCAAAUUCCAAGAUUCAAAGGGCGAGAAGCCUCUCCCUUUUUCUUUAUAGUCAAUUCGUCCAUAAGGCCUACAAGUAACUAAAUGAUGUGUUAUUUUUCAUUUAGGAAGUUGUUGCAAGCAUAAAGGCUAAAGAAGUAACCUAGAGAGAUUAAUAAAAAAAGAUCAGGGUUAGGAUAGUUAGAAAGUUUUUUUUUUAAUAAAAUAUUUCUAUUGGUAUUUUGAUGAUAUUUUGAUAAUGGUUGAUGAUUAUGUACGAUUAUGAUGAUGCUUGAAUGAUUGAUAAACCAUUAGAGUAUGUUAAUGAUGU